rnacentral:rRNA from 1 species
GACGAACGCUGGCGGCGUGCUUAACACAUGCAAGUCGAACGAAGUCGCGAACGGGUGAGUAACGCGUAUUCAACCUGCCCUUCAGAGGGGGACAACAGUUGGACACGACUGCUAAUACCGCAUAUUUAAGGUGGUGAUUGCGUUUGUUUAGCUAGGUGGCGGGGUAACGUCCCACCAUGGCGAUGAUCAGUAGCCGGUCUGGGAGGAUGGACGGCCACAUUGGGACUGAGACACGGCGCAGACGCCUACGGGAGGCAGCAGUGGGGAAUCUUCCGCAAUGGACGAAAGUCUGACGGAGCAACGCCGCGUGAGUGAUGACGGCCUUCGGGUUGUAAAGCUCUGUUAAUCGGGACGCGGUACCGGAAUAGAAAGCCACGGCUAACUACGUGCCAGCAGCCGCGGUAAUAC